CAAUAGCGUAUAUUAAAGUUGUUGCGGUAAAAAAGCUCGUAGUUGGAUUUCUACCGAAGAUAGCCGGUCGGGUCUUCGACCUUGUAUCUGGUUUUGUCUUUGGUAUCCUCAUAGGGAACGUUUCUGCGCUUUAUUGCGUGGUGCGGUAUCUAUGACUUUUACUUUGGGGAAAUUAGAGUGUUCACGGCAGGCAAACGCCUUGAAUAUAUUAGCAUGGAAUAAUAACAUAGGAUCUUCGUCCUAUUUUGUUGGUUUCUAGGGCUAAGAUAAUGAUUAAUAGGGAUAAUUGGGGGCAUCUGUAUCAACGCGUCAGAGGUGGAAUUCUUGGAUUGCGUUGCGACAAACUACUGCGAAAGCAUUUGCCAAGGAUGUUUUCAUUGA
rnacentral:rRNA from 1 species